CGCCAAGGUGGCGGAGCGGCCACGCGGUUGACUGCAGAUCAACUACACUCCGGUUCAAAUCCGGACCUUGGCU
rnacentral:tRNA from 1 species